rnacentral:rRNA from 1 species
GAUGAACGCUGGCGGCGUGCUUAACACAUGCAAGUCGAACGGAAAGGCCCAAGCUUGCUUGGGUACUCGAGUGGCGAACGGGUGAGUAACACGUGGGUGAUCUGCCCUGCACUUCGGGAUAAGCCUGGGAAACUGGGUCUAAUACCGGAUAGGACGAUGGUUUGGAUGCCAUUGUGGAAAGUUUUUUCGGUGUGGGAUGAGCUCGCGGCCUAUCAGCUUGUUGGUGGGGUAAUGGCCUACCAAGGCGUCGACGGGUAGCCGGCCUGAGAGGGUGUACGGCCACAUUGGGACUGAGAUACGGCCCAGACUCCUACGGGAGGCAGCAGGGGGGAAUAUUGCACAAUGGGCGCAGGCCUGAUGCAGCGACGCCGCGUGGGGGAUGACGGCCUUCGGGUUGUAAACUCCUUUCGCUAGGGACGAAGCGUUUUUGUGACGGUACCUGGAGAAGAAGCACCGGCUAACUACGUG